rnacentral:rRNA from 1 species
UACGGGGGGGGCAAGCGUUGUUCGGAAUUACUGGGCGUAAAGGGCUCGUAGGCGGCCAACUAAGUCAGACGUGAAAUCCCUCGGCUUAACCGGGGAACUGCGUCUGAUACUGGAUGGCUUGAAUCCGGGAGAGGGAUGCGGAAUUCCAGGUGUAGCGGUGAAAUGCGUAGAUAUCUGGAGGAACACCGGUGGCGAAGGCGGCAUCCUGGACCGGCAUUGACGCUGAGGAGCGAAAGCCAGGGGAGCAA